rnacentral:rRNA from 1 species
UACAGAGGUCUCAAGCGUUGUUCGGAUUCAUUGGGCGUAAAGGGCGCGUAGGCUGCGGGGCAAGUCGGGUGUGAAAUCUCAGAGCUCAACUCUGAAACUGCACUCGAUACUGCUUUGCUUGAGGACUGGAGAGGAGAUUGGAAUUCACGGUGUAGCAGUGAAAUGCGUAGAUAUCGUGAGGAAGACCAGUGGCGAAGGCGGGUCUCUGGGCCGUAACUGACGCUGAGGAGCGAAAGCAUGGGGAGCGAACAGG